GCUUUUCUAUUGUGGAUUGUGGAGGAACAGAGGAGAGCAAUGAACAUUGUUUUUAUGCCUUUAAAGGAACAAAUCUAAAAUUGUGCUAAAAGGCUUUUUUUCAAUUAUUUGUAUUUGAAACUUGUUAACCUACGUUGUAAAAAUGGCCAAAAUGGAUCUAAUUUCUUCACCUUUGUUAGCACGGACGAUGUCACAAGAUGAUUUUGAUCCAGAACGAUAUGUCCAGAACUUGUGCAGCAAUCUUAACACUCAUGCAGAGUUAAAGGAACAACAAAAGAAAAUAAAGACCUUGAAUGAAGAGACAGCAGCUACUUUGAAAAGAAAUGUUUACAGAAAUUAUCAGCAGUUUAUCGAAACGUCACGAGAGAUUUCUUAUUUGGAGGCUGAAAUGUAUCAGUUGAGUCAUUUAUUGACAGAUCAAAAGUCCAACCUAUCAUCCCAGCUUGAGAUGUGUUUGUUUGGUCGGUCUGAGUCGUUAGCUUCGAUUGAUGUUAGCGAUGGUUUACCUUCUGAAAGCGAUAGUUACAACGAAACCAUGUCCCUUCUCGAAAACAUAGAUGGAUUGUCUAAUGUAAUCAAUAACAUCCACGAACAUCAUUGUGUGAUGGAAGGAGAUCUGUUAGAAAUAGAUCAAUAUUCUUUGGGUGCUGUAGAAGGGAUCAAAGCAUUCCUACUCGACGAUUUUUUGGUGAUUGCGAUGUUCGUUACUAACAAGAACGGUCCAGGACGUUUUAAAUUGAAAUGUGUCUUCGAAGUUGAUAAUGUUGGUGUUGUCAAUGUUCAUGAUAUGGAAGGGUUGACCGCUGCGUUUCGUGUAAUGAAUUUCCCUACAGGCGAAACUUACAUAUAUCAGGCGAAAGACAACGACACUAAGGUAAAGUGGAUGAAUAUGCUCGAAGAAACUAAGCAGCGCUUUAAACUUCAACUGCAAAAAGAGGUUUCUGCACAAAGUCACGUUUCCGCGCAAAGUCACGUUUCACAAGAGCCAUAUGAUAAGGAGAAAAAUCCGUUUUAUGAGUCAGACAAUGAAGACGAUAGUACAUUUGUGGACGAAGCUGCAUCACCAAGCCUCGUGUCAAAGAAUUUAGAUGUGGAAUGGCUACGUGAUGUACCCGAUGACUUGGACGUCUGCAUUGCGCAGAGAGAGUUUGAGCAGGCUAUGAAUCUUAUUGAGAAAGUGAACGAAUAUUUGAAGGAUUCUCCCAGCUCUCAUGCCCUUAAUGAAAUUCGGAGUAGAGUGGAUCAUCGAGAAAAGUUAUUAUCCGACUCGUUGAUGACAGAACUGGAAGCAAACCAAAGUAUUCUACUUCAUGGCGGCCCCCAGUCGAGUAGGAGGGCAGUUUUACUUCUCAACAAACUUGGCAAAUCGCAUCAGGCGUGCACGUUGUUUCUUCGCAACAGAAGCGAGGCCGUGAAACAGAGCUUUCGGCAGCUGAAAAUCGAAGGUGCUACUGCUUUGUAUAUUGAUAAGCUCAGCAAUGUUUUUUUCGCCAAUCUUGUGGAAUGUCACAAAGAGUUUGGUAGAUUGUUUUCUGAAUGCAAAGGAUUCAAAUCAGCAUUCAUUGUAUGGGCUAAUGAUGAGUUGGAGUACUUCGUUUCAAAGUUCUCCCGUCAAGUUUUUCAUUGUGACAUCACUUUAAAUGCAAUCGGCGUCUGUGUUUGCAUUGCGACAAGACAUUGUAACAAGCUCCAAGAAAAUGGAUUAGAUUUGACGUUCUCUAUGCGUAAAAUGAUGAUGGAAAACAUCAAAGAUGGAAUUUAUGAGAGUCAUCGUCAUCAUGUUGAGGCGAUAAAACACAGAGUUGUGGAGGAAAAAUGGCAAGCUGUUGAUUAUACUAAUAGACAUGACGAACUGGAUAAUUUAAUACGUGAAAUGGAAAACAUGGGGAUCAUUACGUUUAACACUGUCGUUGUCUUUCAGGAGAUCAGAGAUCAGUACAUCUGAGCAACUCAACCAUAACGUUCAUCAAGAGUGUUUGUCGCUUUCUUUUGAUUGUCUUGACUUGUAUUCUUCUGAUCUGCAUCAUGACAUCAUUCAUUGUUUACACAACUUGUUCGAAACUCAGGUUUCCCUAUUUCGUUCAAAGCUUGACUCUAUCCGUAAAGCGAAACAGGCCGAUUUUAUCAUUGAAAACGCAAGAUUUAUACUUGAUAUGGUCCUACCUGUUGUUGAAGAAACCUUAAGGGAAAGUUUACACUAUAUUCCAGACAAGAUUCAUUCACUCCAUUCCGAAAUGAAGACCCUCUACUCCGAUGAAAAAUCUGGAAACGAAUGAAUCGAGUGUAAAUAAGGAAAUGAUAAUGCCGUUCAGUUCAUUGUAGCACAAUAAGCUGUAAAUUUAACUUAGUGGGAUUUUAAUGCGUGUAUAACCCAGUCUACUAGACAACGGACUGUGCCGAACUUCUAUUGUUACGAGAGUUAUUAGCAAUGUGAGUUCAGAAUUUGAUUGACUAAUACAGAUUUCACCUCAAUAAUAAAUUUUAUACCCAUAUUUGAUACCAGUUGCUAUGGGAUUUUUCCCUCUAAGUAUGCAACAUCUGGUGUUGUUUAUACAAGAAUAAUAAAGUGCAUGUACACAUGUAAAAAUAAGGCAAUAAAACCAAAUGAAUUAAACACAUUUUGUGUUCUUUAAUCCUAGAAGCUUAACAGCUUUUCAGAAAUUAAAGAGUUAUUAAACUGUA